UGAUCUCUAUUCGCCUGCCAUCAGGAUCAGGCGUUCGUGCGAUGGCUCCGGGAAAUCCUUCAUAGAAUGCUGGCCAACCACAACCUGAGUUGAAUUUAGUAGAUGACUUGUACAAUGGAGUCCCGCAUCCAGCACAUUCAUAAACACCCUCAGCGAAGAGCUUGUCAUAUUCACCUGUUCCAGGAUACUCCGUGCCCUUGAGGCGGAGGAUGCGGAACUGCUCCG
rnacentral:misc_RNA from 1 species